AUCCAAAUGACGACUCCCAAAUAGGACGAAAUGCGCAUCCUGGAU
rnacentral:hammerhead_ribozyme from 1 species